rnacentral:rRNA from 1 species
CCUCGUUCCCCGUCGUGCGCGCCCCGUCGCCCGAA